GUCGUUCAAGAGGGCAACUAAUAAUGGCUCCACAUCCUCUGGGUCAUUCAAAUGAUUCAGAGCAUGGGAAGUCAUUUCUGUUACUACAUUGUCACUAUGCUCGCUUUUAGUUUUAGUAGUAGUAGUAGUAAUAGUAGUAUAAUAGUAGUAGUAGUAGUAGUAGUAAUAGUAGUAGUAGUAGUAGUAGUAGUAGUAGUAAUAGUCGUAGUAGUAGUAGUAGUAAUAGUAGUAGUAGUAGUAGUAGUAGUAGUAGUAAUAGUAGUAGUAGUA
rnacentral:misc_RNA from 1 species